rnacentral:rRNA from 1 species
AGUAACACGUGAGUAACCUGCCCUUGACUCUGGGAUAAGCCUGGGAAACUGGGUCUAAUACCGGAUAUGACUCCUCAUCGCAUGGUGGGGGGUGGAAAGCUUUUGUGGUUUUGGAUGGACUCGCGGCCUAUCAGCUUGUUGGUGGGGUAAUGGCCUACCAAGGCGACGACGGGUAGCCGGCCUGAGAGGGUGACCGGCCACACUGGGACUGAGACACGGCCCAGACUCCUACGGGAGGCAGCAGUGGGGAAUAUUGCACAAUGGGCGCAAGCCUGAUGCAGCGACGCCGCGUGAGGGAUGACGGCCUUCGGGUUGUAAACCUCUUUCAGUAGGGAAGAAGCGAAAGUGACGGUACCUGCAGAAGAAGCGCCGGCUAACUACGUGCCAGCAGCCGCGGUAAUACGUAGGGCGCAAGCGUUAUCCGGAAUUAUUGGGCGUAAAGAGCUCGUAGGCGGUUUGUCGCGUCUGCUGUGAAAGACCGGGGCUCAACUCCGGUUCUGCAGUGGGUACGGGCAGACUAGAGUGCAGUAGGGGAGACUGGAAUUCCUGGUGUAGCGGUGAAAUGCGCAGAUAUCAGGAGGAACACCGAUGGCGAAGGCAGGUCUCUGGGCUGUAACUGACGCUGAGGAGCGAAAGCAUGGGGAGCGAACAGGAUUAGAUACCCUGGUAGUCCAUGCCGUAAACGUUGGGCACUAGGUGUGGGGGACAUUCCACGUUUUCCGCGCCGUAGCUAACGCAUUAAGUGCCCCGCCUGGGGAGUACGGCCGCAAGGCUAAAACUCAAAGGAAUUGACGGGGGCCCGCACAAGCGGCGGAGCAUGCGGAUUAAUUCGAUGCAACGCGAAGAACCUUACCAAGGCUUGACAUGAACCGGUAAUACCUGGAAACAGGUGCCCCGCUUGCGGUCGGUUUACAGGUGGUGCAUGGUUGUCGUCAGCUCGUGUCGUGAGAUGUUGGGUUAAGUCCCGCAACGAGCGCAACCCUCGUUCUAUGUUGCCAGCGCGUUAUGGCGGGGACUCAUAGGAGACUGCCGGGGUCAACUCGGAGGAAGGUGGGGACGACGUCAAAUCAUCAUGCCCCUUAUGUCUUGGGCUUCACGCAUGCUACAAUGGCCGGUACAAAGGGUUGCGAUACUGUGAGGUGGAGCUAAUCCCAAAAAGCCGGUCUCAGUUCGGAUUGGGGUCUGCAACUCGACCCCAUGAAGUCGGAGUCGCUAGUAAUCGCAGAUCAGCAACGCUGCGGUGAAUACGUUCCCGGGCCUUGUACACACCGCCCGUCAAGUCA